CGAACACGCACGUUAUUGGAGGAUAGAGGAUUGAGUAAGAGAGCCCAAAAAUUUGAUUGGAGGAGCCGACUCCGGAUGUGCUUGACUGAACACUGAUUGGAGAACAAGGGGUCAGGAAGAGCAGUUCCGCACGAGGAUUGGGCGGUGGCGUGUCCCAUGGAAACGGAAUCCAGAACUGCAGCCAGGGUUUUUCACGGGGGCGGAGCCGGCUCUUCCCCAGGCGCCUGCGCCUAACCGGUUCCCCGGCGCCAUUUUGUCCCGGCAGCAGCAGCCCGCAGCUCUAUCCCAUUUUCUGUGUCUGGAGGGAAGGACGCGGACUCUCUCGGAGUUGUGCUGAAGACAACAGACACCUCCAUGACAACCCAAAGUAUCACAGAGGAAAUGAAAAGCUGUGGACUCAUUCAAAGUUAAUUAAGAUUAGGUAUGACCAUGGAAGACUUGUGUAUGACCAUGGAAGACUUCUAGAGAAUCUUGACUGGUGAUGUGGAAAAAGAGACCCAGAAGAACAAAAAAACAGGUGACUGUAAUGCUGGUCCCCCUGUGCAGGAACAGCUCAGGAGACUGUCGGAGACAUGAGUGUCCUUGUAGAAGCCAGCAGUCUUGUUGGCUGUCAGGUCCUCAGGACUUAGUAUUAUUACAUGUCAUCCUUUCAUGUGGCAUGAAUGAGGAUUUAUAAAGCCCUAUUACGGUUUGGUUAUGCAGUCCAAACAGACUUACAAAGAUUUACAGAUUAAUUUUACUGCUCAAGCAUAGAGCAGAGACUCCUCAUUAGCUAAUUUGUGCAUACUACACUUUCCGUACACGUGUUACUGCAAAAAUGUCCCUACAGUGUUACCAGAGCUGGGGCAGGAAGUAAGGGUGGAAUUCCUGAGCUCACUGACACUGAUGCUGAAGGAAGCAGGAGGUGGGCGGAGCUGGCAGUGGUGAGAGCCACGUGGAUACAUGGGAUGGUGGAGGAGUCAGGAAAAGUUAGUAGCUAGCUGAGACUGUCCUAGCAAAAGACCAACAGCUUUAUUUUCUUCAAAAUUUAAUAAUAAACUGUAGAAAUAAACUAUUUUGAAAG
ensembl:antisense 3110056K07Rik RIKEN cDNA 3110056K07 gene